rnacentral:rRNA from 1 species
CAGUAGCCACGGUAAUACGUAGGGUGCGAGCGUUAAUCGGAAUUACUGGGCGUAAAGCGUGCGCAGGCGGUUUUGUAAGACAGGCGUGAAAUCCCCGGGCUCAACCUGGGAAUGGCGCUUGUGACUGCAAAGCUAGAGUGCGGCAGAGGGGGAUGGAAUUCCGCGUGUAGCAGUGAAAUGCGUAGAUAUGCGGAGGAACACCGAUGGCGAAGGCAAUCCCCUGGGCCUGCACUGACGCUCAUGCACGAAAGCGUGGGGAGCAAACAGGAUUAGAUACCCCCGUAGUCCCUGUCUCUUAUAC